AGUGAACGCUGGCGGUAGGCCUAACACAUGCAAGUCGAACGGCAGCACAGUAAGAGCUUGCUCUUACGGGUGGCGAGUGGCGGACGGGUGAGGAAUACAUCGGAAUCUACUUUUUCGUGGGGGAUAACGUAGGGAAACUUACGCUAAUACCGCAUACGACCUACGGGUGAAAGCAUGGGAUCUUCGGACCUUGCGCGAUUGAAUGAGCCGAUGUCGGAUUAGCUAGUUGGCGGGGUAAAGGCCCACCAAGGCGACGAUCCGUAGCUGGUCUGAGAGGAUGAUCAGCCACACUGGAACUGAGACACGGUCCAGACUCCUACGGGAGGCAGCAGUGGGGAAUAUUGGACAAUGGGCGAAAGCCUGAUCCAGCCAUGCCGCGUGGGUGAAGAAGGCCUUCGGGUUGUAAAGCCCUUUUGUUGGGAAAGAAAAGCAGCAGGUUAAUACCCCGCUGUUCUGACGGUACCCAAAGAAUAAGCACCGGCUAACUUCGUG
rnacentral:rRNA from 1 species